rnacentral:lncRNA from 1 species
GAGUGGUGUAGUCGGAGUGUGUUUGGCGUGUUGAGGGAUCUCCCCCAUACUUGUUUUCUGCUUUCUUGCACAAGAAUAAAGUAGAGACACACAAGACAUAAUAAUAAUAAUAAUAAUACUCUUUAUUAAUCUUGAGGCAUUUAUUACAAAAGACUAGUAGCAAACUGAUGACAAUAGCAAACUGAUGAUAAUAGUAACAAACUGACAAUAAUAGU